rnacentral:rRNA from 1 species
GACGAACGCUGGCGGCGUGCCUAAUACAUGCAAGUCGAACGCUGAAGGAGGAGCUUGCUCUUCUGGAUGAGUUGCGAACGGGUGAGUAACGCGUAGGUAACCUGCCUGGUAGCGGGGGAUAACUAUUGGAAACGAUAGCUAAUACCGCAUAACAGUAGAUGUUGCAUGACAUUUACUUAAAAGGUGCAAUUGCAUCACUACCAGAUGGACCUGCGUUGUAUUAGCUAGUUGGUGGGGUAACGGCUCACCAAGGCGACGAUACAUAGCCGACCUGAGAGGGUGAUCGGCCACACUGGGACUGAGACACGGCCCAGACUCCUACGGGAGGCAGCAGUAGGGAAUCUUCGGCAAUGGACGGAAGGCUGACCGAGCAACGCCGCGUGAGUGAAGAAGGUUUUCGGAUCGGAAAGCUCUGUUGUAAGAGAAGAACGAGUGUGAGAGUGGAAAGUUCACACUGUGACGGUAUCUGACCAGAAAGGGACGGCUAACUACGUG